rnacentral:rRNA from 1 species
UACGUAGGGUGCAAGCGUUGUCCGGAAUUAUUGGGCGUAAAGAGCUCGUAGGCGGUUCGUCGCGUCGGCUGUGAAAACCCGGAGCUCAACUCCGGGCCUGCAGUCGAUACGGGCGGACUUGAGUUCGGCAGGGGAGACUGGAAUUCCUGGUGUAGCGGUGAAAUGCGCAGAUAUCAAGAGGAACACCAGUGGCGAAGGCGAGUCUCUGGACAACUCCUGACACUGAGGCACGAAAGCUAGGGGAGCAAACAGG